UGGGGAAUUUUGGACAAUGGGCGAAAGCCUGAUCCAGCAAUGCCGCGUGUGUGAAGAAGGCCUUCGGGUUGUAAAGCACUUUUGUCCGGAAAGAAAUCCUUGGCUCUAAUACAGUCGGGGGAUGACGGUACCGGAAGAAUAAGCACCGGCUAACUACGUGCCAGCAGCCGCGGUAAUACGUAGGGUGCAAGCGUUAAUCGGAAUUACUGGGCGUAAAGCGUGCGCAGGCGGUUUGCUAAGACCGAUGUGAAAUCCCCGGGCUCAACCUGGGAACUGCAUUGGUGACUGGCAGGCUAGAGUAUGGCAGAGGGGGGUAGAAUUCCACGUGUAGCAGUGAAAUGCGUAGAGAUGUGGAGGAAUACCGAUGGCGAAGGCAGCCCCCUGGGCCAAUACUGACGCUCAUGCACGAAAGCGUGGGGAGCAAAACAGGAUUAGAUACCCUGGUAGUCCACGCCCUAAACGAUGUCAACUAGUUGUUGGGGAUUCAUUUCCUUAGUAACGUAGCUAACGCGUGAAGUUGACCGCCUGGGGAGUACGGUCGCAAGAUUAAAACUUAAAGGAAUUG
rnacentral:rRNA from 1 species